UGGCAGGGUAAGCUAACCUACAAGCUGUUGGGCUCAUAACCCAAAAAUAGAAUUCUCUUCCUGCUAACC
rnacentral:tRNA from 1 species